GUGAUCCUAAUUGUAAGUGCUCUAAUUGCACCUUUUCUUAUUCAAAUAGUGAUAGUGAAUUCGAUUACAGAAGUUCAUUUCAUUGUUAAAUAUAUUAAUAUUAAUGUUAAUUUUGAUUUUGUGUGUCAGGGUAUCGAAUACAGAGAGUGUGAUGCGGUGUGAACGUCGAUGCUCUUUUGAGGUCUCUUAACCGAUGGUUUGGUUUGAGCACGUCGCCCCGUCUCAUAAUCCAAGGUGUCAUAAUUUAGGGUUUGAGUCAAUUCCAAAGUCGCAUGUCUGAUUGAAACGAUUCUUGAAAUAGCAGGACUCAAAAUUACAGGUUUGUUCGACUUUCUAAAUGAUCGGGUUUGUUAUAU